AAAUGUUUAGCAACAUCCACAGAGACAUCACCGUUGGCAGUUAACUAAUCAUGGCAAUAUAUGGGAGCUAGUGAAGAUCUCAACUUUUCGAUGGCUCAAUGAGAUGCUGCAUACUUGAAUUUUCAGAUACAGGUCGAAUCUUGAUCUCCAAUCUUCCCAUCGAUAACCUGGCUACAAUUUUGCAGCUUCUAACAAAUACCAUUCUAUGAACGGAUUGGACAAAAGUUCCAUCCAAUACAACUGCUUGGAUUAGAGAAGCCAGACCUGGUACCUUUCAUCCCUUCCAUGUUCAAGUAUCUGAGGGAAAGGAGGAUGCAAGAGAAAAGGUUGUCAACUUUGCAAUUGAGGCUCUGUGGCUUAGUCCAUUCAUGGAUGUGGCCCACAAGACUGCAUGGAUAAAUGAUCAAGACCACCACCCAUCUGCUCGCCCCUACCAUUCUGGGUGAUUGUACAGAAGAUGGAGAAUCUGUGCUACCUGAUUUCUGUUGCAUAGUCAGAUUAUGAAGACCAGCAUCCACACACACCAACUUUUUGUGGGUGAUUGUACAAAAAACAUGCGGAUAGGAGAAUCCUAGCUGCCCAAUUUUCUCUGUUAAAUGGGAUAUUUAUACAGUUUGUACAAAAAUGGCUGAUUUUUGUCAUCACUCAUUUGCUUGAAGGCUCUUACUCAGAUGGAUAGGAUUGUCCAAUUGAUGUGAUAUUUAUACGGUUCCCUGUGGCCAUAGGCUUAUAAGAUUGACAUACCAGAUGAUCCACCCAUGAGCCAUGCAGGCCCAAUCAAGCAGUAGACCCUCUGACAUAAUGGCAGGCUCCAAAUCGAAAAUGAAGCAAUAGGCCUCUCAAAUUCUAUGUCAAUGUCAGGCAAUCCCAUGUUCAAAAGGGAUUCUUCAGAUCGAGCAUGGAUGUUCUUCGUUGCUUGCAAGUUUAUCAGCUGUUAUGCUUCACGAGUAGGUUUCAGGAAGCAACGGUCACUUUACUAGCUGUUUGUAAUUCUAUCCUUGUGUUGAGUUUAGAAGGGUAAAGUAUAAAUGGAUGUUUAAGCAGAGGAAGAAAGAGAGAUUGUAUUUAUUUUAGAAUGCAUGUAAAAAAUAUAUGUAGUCUGACUGUUAUGGUUGUUACAAGUAAUCAUAUGAGUUUCAUGAGC